rnacentral:rRNA from 1 species
GUGCCAGCCGCCGCGGUAAUACCGGCAGCUCAAGUGAUGUCCCAUCUUAUUGGGCCUAAAGCGUCCGUAGCUUGCUGUGUAAGUCCAUUGGGAAAUCCACGCGCUCAACGCGUGGGCGUCCGGUGGAAACUGCACGGCUUGGGGCCGAGAGACUCGACGGGUACGUCCGGGGUAGGAGUGAAAUCCUAUAAUCCUGGACGGACCACCAAUGGGGAAACCACGUCGAGAGACCGGACCCGACAGUGAGGGACGGAAGCCAGGGUCUCGAACCGGAUUAGAUACCCCGGUAGUCC